rnacentral:rRNA from 1 species
UACGGAUGGUGCAAGCGUUGUCCGGAUUUAUUGGGUUUAAAGGGUGCGUAGGCGGCCCUGUAAGUCAGUGGUGAAAUUCUUGAGCUUAACUGAAGGAUUGCCAUUGAUACUGUAGGGCUUGAGUACAGAUGAGGUAGGCGGAAUUGAUGGUGUAGCGGUGAAAUGCAUAGAUACCAUCAAGAACACCGAUUGCGAAGGCAGCUUACUAAGCUGUAACUGACGCUGAGGCACGAAAGUGUGGGGAUCAAACAGG